GUGGGAAUAAAGGAUAUGCUUUGGGGAAAAUAGUGAAGAUUUUAUGAGUAGAAAAUGUGGGAUUUCUUUUUGAUUUUUAGGAUAAAGGAGAGUUUUUAUGAGGAUGUUAAAAGUCUCGCUGACUCAAAUGAAUAAUAUUGGAGAUUAUAUAUGUAGAAAUGAUUUUUUCAUACACAUUGCAUUUUGUUGUGGCUCAGAGAGUCGUCUCUUGAGGGUCACAAACUUUUGGUUAGCGUUAUGAUUAGCCAAUCUACUGUGAGAAUGACCUGAGUUAUUGAAGGAUUGCACACGCUUACAGACAUAUAGAGUUCAUCAACACACAGGACAGUAUU
ensembl:lncRNA